AGUAAUGUAUCGGAACGUGCCCAGUCGUGGGGGAUAACUGCUCGAAAGGGCAGCUAAUACCGCAUACGACCUGAGGGUGAAAGCGGGGGAUCGCAAGACCUCGCGCGAUUGGAGCGGCCGAUAUCAGAUUAGGUAGUUGGUGAGGUAAAGGCUCACCAAGCCGACGAUCUGUAGCUGGUCUGAGAGGACGACCAGCCACACUGGGACUGAGACACGGCCCAG
rnacentral:rRNA from 1 species